rnacentral:sRNA from 1 species
CGCUCCUCCCUGCUUCGGUCGUUCUUUCCGCUCUGAGCGGCUCUUUGGGGGCGUCCAUCCGCCAAUUCCUGCCUGUCGGUCCUGUGGUGUUGGCCUAUUUGAGGCCCCGCCCCUCCCAGACCCUACCCAACUCUGGGCCACGCCCCAUCUGAGACCACGCCCACAGCUAAUCCCGCCCUUGUCCCUCUCCCUAGUCCACGGACAAUUCUCGCUGGCAGUGCGGGGUUGCGGUUCGGGACUCCCCGGCAAGAAUGACCGCGGCCUGGAUCUUCACGGGCUUCUGGCGUUCAUCCAGCUGCAGCAAUGCGCUCAGGAUCGCUGCAACGCCAAGCUCAACCUCACCUCGCGGGCGCUCGACCCGGCAGGUAAUGAGAGUGCAUACCCGCCCAACGGCGUGGAGUGCUACAGCUGUGUGGGCCUGAGCCGGGAGGCGUGCCAGGGUACAUCGCCGCCGGUCGUGAGCUGCUACAACGCCAGCGAUCAUGUCUACAAGGGCUGCUUCGACGGCAACGUCACCUUGACGGCAGCUAAUGUGACUGUGUCCUUGCCUGUCCGGGGCUGUGUCCAGGAUGAA